GUUUGUCUGUGUUCGCUGAUCGGUUCAGUAACAAAUGUAGAAGGCGUGUUCUGGAACCUGCGUAGAGUCACAGGGCCCUGGAGAAGGCGCCUAGGCGCUGUCCGUAGUGCUGAAAUGGUGCGUGGUGAGACCUGUCUCCCCAACACAAGCUAGAAGACAACAAAAUAGCAGCCAGGAAACGCUCUGAUAAAGCUCUAGAUAGCUGCCAGGUGAUGCCAGAGAUUACUAGUUUUGGGACCAAUUAAAGUAGCAAGAUGCAGCCAGGAGUGGUGGCUUAUGCCUGUAAUCCCAGCACUUUGGGAGGCCGAGGUAGGAGGAUCACCUGAGGCCGAGCUCAAGGGAGCAGAACUAAGUUACAUGAUUCUGCUGCGGAUGUAUAAGCACCACUCCAAUAAUUUAUUAUCACGGUUGGAGACUUUGACUUGUCACUUUAUGACUUGAAAUAUGGCUCCAUGGUAAAUGCCCAUAAAGCUGAUUUUUAAAAUCUGGAUAUUACAGUUCUAAUUCUCACUUAGUUUAAAAGGUAGAAUAGGCUUCUUGUUUCAUAGAUCAUUUGUGUGAAUGUUGAUUUGUUAUGUCAUUGACAUCAUACACACAUGCUUACAUUUUGAAGGUUGCUAGCGUUUCCCAUUAAUGCUUCUGAAUUGAUGCCAAAGGAAAGCAUUGAUUAUAAAUUAGGUUCCUUGGUAUUAGUUGGUGCAUGACCCUGACCCUUUUCAAGCUAUAUGAAAGGUAAUGAUGCUCUCAAAAGCCUGCAAAAUGGCUUAUUCAGGAAAGCAUAAUGGAUUAAAAAUCCAUUAGGUUCCACUUUCUUUGCUAGAUGCUGAGAUACAAAGAUAAAUGAGAUUUGGUCUCUGCCCUCGAGGAGAUACGUGGCAAAAUAAUAUGGUAAGUUCUACAAAGUUCUAUACAAACACAGAUUAAUAUGCUAUUCAUGUUUUAUUAGCCAUUGCCAAAGAAGGGAUGAAGAACUGCAAAAAGAUAAAACACAGAAUACUUGUACUUCAGGUCCUUGCCAAUAUCUACUGCCCAACUUUUACAAAAAAAAUUGCUGAAAGGCAUGAAAUAUAUGAAUGCCUUUCUAAAGCACAUGUGGAUAAUCUAUACUUCUGGAGCAUCUAUGAUUUAUUUUCAGAACAAUCCAAGUUAUUAGAAAGGUAAAUAUGUUGGUGACAUUGUUUAGAAGUUCCUCAAGCAGAAUUGCCUUUACUAUGCUUUGACAUUAUGCUCUCAGCUUAUAUACAGUAAUUCUAUGUGAAACAGUAGCCAGCUUACACAACCUGCUCUAUAUCUACUACAGAGCUGUUACUAAAGUGUUGGUCAACAUAUAACUUACUAUUUCUUAUAUAAAGAUGCCCAAGAAAUUUAGAUUUCAUAGAUAUAUCCCCAAAAGCAUUUCUUUCAAUACCAGUUUAAUGAAUUGAACUUUCAUACCUCACUUAAAUCAACCCAGGGUAAAGUGGUAUGUUCUGUUCUUACACACAAUGAAAAUCAUGUAACUAAUUAAAGUUAGCAUUUAUUUUAGCUACUAGGGAUGCCAGAGUCAAAUUAACAGCUGAAAAUGAAUAACUACAUAAGACCUUAAGCCUUUUAUAUCUUUUCUUUUUUUUUAAUCACCUUAACUACUGCAAUUUUGGUUUCUUAGGUAAUGAUAAUAUUAUUUUCUUUUAAUUAUUUGUUUUAAUGUGUGACCUCAUGUAAAUGUCCUCAUAAAAUCAGAAGUGGA
rnacentral:lncRNA from 1 species